rnacentral:rRNA from 1 species
AUUUAUAUAAAUAUAGUAGUAAAAUUUUAAAAAUAAAACUUUUUAAUUUUGGCGGCAAUAAUUAUUUAGAGGAACUUGUUUAUUAAUAGAUAUAUCACUUUAUMAAUCUCUUAAUUUUUAAAAUUUAUAUAUCACCAUUUUAAGAAUUAAUUCAAUAAUAAUAUUCUAAAUAUUUUAAUAAUAAUAAAUUAGGUAAAGAUGUAAUCAAUAUUUAAGAAUAAAUGUGUUACUAUAAAUAUAAUUUAAGGAUAUUUAUUUAUAAAAAUUUAUUUAAUUAGAAUUUAAAAAUAAUAAUAUAUUAAUAUUUUAUUAUGAAUAAAUAUUUAAUGUGU